rnacentral:snoRNA from 1 species
CCUCUUCUCAGAACACUUCCAGGGUCUUGUCUGUGGCUCAGGAAGCUGUCAGAGAAGAGCAAAGCAUGUGCCCUUUGUGGAUAAGGUAACAGCUGGAUGUACUGUUGUCUGCAUCACUGGUGGAGACAAAC